rnacentral:rRNA from 1 species
AACGAACGCUGGCGGCAUGCCUAACACAUGCAAGUCGAACGCUUCCGGGGGCUUCGGUCCCGGGGGGAGUGGCGCACGGGUGAGUAGCGCGUGGGAACCUGCCCUGUUGUGGGGGAUAACCGAGGGAAACUUCGGCUAAUACCGCAUACGCCCGGAGAGUGAUCUUCGGGGAAAGAUUUAUCGCAGCAGGAGGGGCCCGCGUCGGAUUAGCUGGUUGGUGGGGUAACGGCCCACCAAGGCGAUGAUCCGUAGCNGGUCUGAGAGGAUGAUCAGCCACACUGGGACUGAGACACGGCCCAGACUCCUACGGGAGGCAGCAGUGGGGAAUAUUGGACAAUGGGGGCAACCCUGAUCCAGCAAUGCCGCGUGAGUGAUGAAGGCCUUAGGGUUGUAAACCGCUGUCGUAGGGGAGGAAGCAACCGUGAAGAACGGAAGUUGACCGAUCCUAGGAGGAAGGGGCCGGCUAAUCUCGUGCCAGCCGCCGCGGUAAC